GCCUGGGUGGCUCAGUCCAUUAAGCGUCUGACUUCGGCUCAGGUCAUGAUCUCACAGCUUGUGGGUUCGAGCCCCACGUCUGGCU
rnacentral:tRNA from 1 species